GACGAACGCUGGCGGCGUGCUUAACACAUGCAAGUCGAACGGAAAGGCCCUGCUUUUGUGGGGUGCUCGAGUGGCGAACGGGUGAGUAACACGUGAGUAACCUGCCCUUGACUUUGGGAUAACUUCAGGAAACUGGGGCUAAUACCGGAUAGGAGCUCCUGCUGCAUGGUGGGGGUUGGAAAGUUUCGGCGGUUGGGGAUGGACUCGCGGCUUAUCAGCUUGUUGGUGGGGUAGUGGCUUACCAAGGCUUUGACGGGUAGCCGGCCUGGGAGGGUGACCGGCCACAUUGGGACUGAGAUACGGCCCAGUCUCCUACGGGAGGCAGCAGUGGGGAAUAUUGCACAAUGGGCGGAAGCCUGAUGCAGCAACGCCGCGUGCGGGAUGACGGCCUUCGGGUUGUAAACCGCUUUCGCCUGUGCCGAAGCGUGAGUGACGGUAAUGGGUAAAGAAGCACCGGCUAACUACGUG
rnacentral:rRNA from 1 species